AACUGAAGAGUUUGAUCAUGGCUCAGAUUGAACGCUGGCGGCAGGCUUAACACAUGCAAGUCGAGCGGGGGAAGGUAGCUUGCUACUGGACCUAGCGGCGGACGGGUGAGUAAUG
rnacentral:rRNA from 1 species